rnacentral:rRNA from 1 species
UGGGAACUGGAACCAGAGUGUGAUGCCAGCAAUUCUGUGUGCACGAUGACGUGUUUCGGAAUGGUGAAAGUGCUUUCAGUUGGGAAGAAAAAAAUGACGGUACCAACAGAAGAAGUGACGGCUAAAUACGUGCCAGCAGCCGCGGUAAUACGUAUGUCACAAGCGUUAUCCGGAUUUAUUGGGCGUAAAGCGCGUCUAGGUGGUUAUGUAAGUCUGAUGUGAAAAUGCAGGGCUCAACUCUGUAUUGCGUUGGAAACUGUAUAACUAGAGUACUGGAGAGGUAAGCGGAACUACAAGUGUAGAGGUGAAAUUCGUAGAUAUUUGUAGGAAUGCCGAUGGGGAAGCCAGCUUACUGGACAGAUACUGACGCUAAAGCGCGAAAGCGUGGGUAGCAACAGGAUUAGAUACCCUGGUAGUCCACGCCGUAAACGAUGAUUACUAGGUGUUGGGGGUCGAACCUCAGCGCCCAGCAAACGCGAUAAGUAAUCCGCCUGGGGGUACGUACGCAGUAUGAAACUCAAGGAAUGACGGGACCGCACAGCGUGAC